CACAAUGGCCCUACAAGGAAGCCAUUAUUGUCACCAUUUUAUAAGUGGGGAGCAUUGCUGCAGCUCUAUGGGACAGAAGUAAGACUGAAAAGGAUUGAGAGAUGAAUGAGAAUUAAAGAUGUACACUCACCUCUAUUACAACUGGCAGCUUGUUUAAACAUAUUAACCUAUAGGAGAAGAAAUAAAUUCAACUGGUCAGAGACAUAAUCUGUCAACCAAUGUUAUCAAAGAAACCAGGUAUGAUUGAGUCAAGGGGAGUGGAGUGAGAAAAAUAUAAAAUAAAUGCACGUUCUCAACUUUAUACAUAUUUUUUCUCCUGGGUCAUUUUAAAUGCUAACUUAAUAAUGAUUUUCAUUUAAUUUAUUCUUCAGAUACUCUGUGCUUGAAAAUACAGAGAUGAUACAUUAAAAAAAGUCACCAUCUUUGUAAGAAUCUUACUGAAUAAGAAAUAUCUUCUUACAAAUUAAACUGUUGAAGAGAUUUCAACUGGGUUUGGAAUCCAAAUCAACUAAAUUUCUGGCAGAAUAUUUUCAGGAAAAAAAAAAAAAACAACCCUGGAACACUUGAGAAUUACAGUUCUGUAUCUCUGCAAAGAUUUUUAUGUUCUUCCAUUGGCGGGUGAGGGGGCAAGAGGAAAUUUUCUGGGUAGGCUUACAAAAACAAGAUUUUUAAGAGCUUCUGAUGAUUCUGAGCUACGUUUCUGGACUGGGAUUUGAGUGUUUACACUGCUGUUUCUUGGAUAAUUAAAAAGGGCAGCGAAGGACCAUGAGCAAUUCUCCAGUGCUGAAGAUUGAUCCCAGUCAUGUAAAAAUAAGCUGCCACCUCUGGAGGAGCUGAAAAAUAUUGCCAAAAACUAAGAGUCACUCUAAUAUGGAAAGGAGGACAGUCGGGAGUUGGGCAGCAUCAGAUUACCAGCCACGGGAGUGUGCCAUCUUGUAAGCAGAUCCUCCGACCCCAGUCAAGCCUUCAGAUGACUGCAGCCCAGGCUUACUUCUGACUCAGGCUCAUGUGAGACUCCAAGAGCUGCCCAGACAAGUUGCUGCCAAAUUCCUGGCCCACAGAAACUAAAGAACAUUCUGGCUACAACUUUGAUAAAGAAUUCGAUCUCAGCAAGGCUCCAGGGGUGGAGUGUGCAAUGACUAGCCGGAAAAUUAGAGGUAUUAUCUCAGUGAGUGAUGGCAGUGGUCUGAAGUCAGAUAGCUUCUGCUCAUGGAUUCAGAGCCAUUUCUGGGCCAAGGAAGAACACUCUGAUUUUGAAAUUCUGUAGAAUCAGAAAGCUGCUGCAGGAAUGGGAGAAGACAAAGGCUUCAGGACAUUAGUAGGAGGGGCACAGGCAAUCAUAAAUCAGAGAAAGAUGCUGGUCCUGAAGAAAGAGCCACUAACCCUGGAGGGAGAGCCGCCUUGGUGCACUGAUGACUGAUAAGCCGACAACAGUUGGAGAUGAGAAAGCCACGUCUUGCUUUUGUUUCUUGGAGUCUCUCUGGAGAAAGGAUUCAUCUAGAGCCCAUAAAACCAAAUCACGCAAGAUGGAAAAAGAGGAUAAAAGAUUAAAUUUUUUGACCAAAGGAAAGCUAACUGUGGAUCCCUGGGUGAAUCUUGGAGUCACUAACAUCUGUACUUUGCUUAGUCUAUUGAACAACAAUACCUAAUUUUUAAAACAUUAUUCUCAACCAAAAAGGUGAGGGAAUAGAUAUGGAUGCUUGCAAGAAAGUCUGCAGGGUAACUCCAUAUCAUGUCACACAUCACUUGUAAAAUACAUUGUUAAAGGCACUGGCCAGAAUGAAUAGACAAGAUAAUCACUAAGUGGAGCAAGGACAAAGCUGGGUUUGGGUAUUCUGGGUUCUGCUCUCUUCCCAUGACUAUGGGGAGCAACUUGAAAGGUAGACCAUUUAGUUCCUCCUAAUACAACCCCUGCUUCCCCAAUUUGAAAAUGAAAUGAAACAUCCUAUCAACAAAUAAAUGCCGAGAUGUUCCAGAUGAUGAAUGCAAUGUGCCCAAAAAUGCAAUGCAUGGCAUCUCUUGGAUGAUCCAGAUGACAUGCAACUUGAAGCUGGCAUGAGAAACAAGAAAGAAAAAGGCAUUCCGUCCAUCACAAGAAGGAAGAAAAUCAAGUACCUUUGUUUUCCUCUCCCCUGUAGAUCUCUGCUCAGGAGUCAAUCUAAAAACUGUAUUCUCAUUUCUAAUUUUUUUAAGUCUGUAUCCACAGACAUACAAUCAAAUAAAUGUCUUUAAGUAAACAGAGAUCUUGAUCUCAUCAGUUUAAAUUAGUGAAUCUGGCCAGGGAUAUUUAUCACUCAAUCUCACUGCUUUUUCUUGUCAGAAGAAUUGCCAUUAUCAUUACCUCGGAAGAUGCAAGCAGCAUUUAAGUGAUAGCCACUUACCAUGGGGAAUGCUCCAGCCACAAUUAACUUCCCAUUAUGAUAUCCAUCCCCAUUUUUGUACGCAAUUAUUUUCACUGCCUUCUGGUGCGUGGCUGCUAUGCCACUGUGAGAUGCAGCUUGUGUGCAGGUCUUCAUCUGUAAAGACAAUAGACGUGCUUGGUAAUAACUUAGAGUUUUUUCAGCCUCGUCACACGAUAAAUCAACCUAAUUUAUUUUUUAAAAUAAAUUGAACAUUUACUCAAACUUUCUUGUUUUAGUUUUCUAUACUUCAGUCUCUUAAUUUAAUAAAUGUGUGUAUACAUGUAUAA